GCGGAGGUUGCCGAGCCUGGCUAAAGGCGGCAGACUCAAGAUCUGCUUCCAUAGGGAUUCGCCGGUUCAAAUCCGGCCCUCCGCA
rnacentral:tRNA from 3 species